UACGUAGGGGGCAAGCGUUGUCCGGAAUCAUUGGGCGUAAAGCGCGUGUAGGCGGCCCGAUAAGUCCGCUGUGAAAGUCCAGGGCUCAACCCUGGGAUGCCGGUGGAUACUGUCGGGCUCGAGUCCGGAAGAGGAGUGUGGAAUUCCGUGGUGUAGCGGUGGAAUGCGUAGAGAUCGGGAAGAACAUCAGUGGCGAAGGCGGCCUGCUGGGCUGUUGCUGACGCUGAGGCGCGACAGCGUGGG
rnacentral:rRNA from 1 species